rnacentral:rRNA from 1 species
GACGAACGCUGGCGGCGUGCUUAACACAUGCAAGUCGAACGGUGAAGCGCCUUCCUUUUUGGUGGGUGUGGAUGAGUGGCGAACGGGUGAGUAACACGUGAGUAACCUGCCCCCUUCUUCUGGAUAACCGCAUGAAAGUGUGGCUAAUACGGGAUAUUCUGGGUCUGUCGCAUGAUGGGUCUGGGAAAGAUAUUGUUUCGGUGGGGGAUGGGCUCGCGGCCUAUCAGCUUGUUGGUGGGGUGAUGGCCUACCAAGGCGGUGACGGGUAGCCGGCCUGAGAGGGUGGACGGUCACACUGGGACUGAGACACGGCGCAGACUCCGACGGGAGGCAGCAGUGGGGAAUAUUGCACAAUGGGCGCAAGCCUGAUGCAGCGACGCCGCGUGAGGGAUGGAGGCCUGCGGGUUGUGAACCUCUUUCGCCAGUGAAGCAGGCCUGCCUCGUUUGUGGGUGGGUUGACGGUAGCUGGAUAAGAAGCGCCGGCUAACUACGUG